rnacentral:rRNA from 1 species
GGAAUAACUGUUGGAAACGACAGCUAAUACCGCAUAUGUUAUUUAUUUGCAAUGAUAAAUAAUGAAAGGAGCAUUUGUUUCGCUAAUUGAUGAGGAUGCGGCGCAUUAACUAGUUGGUAAGGUAAUGGCUUACCAAGGUAACGAUGCGUAGCCGAUCUGAGAGGAUGAACGGCCACAUUGGGACUGAGACACGGCCCAAACUUCUACGGAAGGCAGCAGUAGGGAAUUUUUCACAAUGGGCGAAAGCCUGAUGGAGCAAUGCCGCGUGACUGAUGAAGAUCUUCGGAUUGUAAAGGUCUGUUGUAAGGGAAGAAGUGCUAGAAUAGGAAAUGAUUUUAGUAUCGACCAUACCUUACCAGAAAGCCACGGCUAACUAUGUGCCAGCAGCCGCGGUAAUACAUAGGUGGCAAGCGUUAUCCGGAUUUAUUGGGCGUAAAGCGUGCGUAGACGGUUUUGCAAGUCUGAGGUUAAAUUUAGGGGCUCAACCCCUAACCGCCUUGGAAACUACAUUACUAGAGUAUAGGAGAGGUUAGUGGAAUUUCAUGUGUAGCGGUGGAAUGCGUAGAUAUAUGAAGGAACACCAGUGGCGAAGGCGGCUAACUGGCCUAUUACUGACGUUGUGGCACGAAAGCGUGGGGAGCAAAUAGGAUUAGAUACCCUAGUAGUCCACGCCGUAAACGAUGAGUACUAAGUGUUGCCAUGAGGCAGUGCUGUAGCUAACGCAUUAAGUACUCCGCCUGAGUAGUAUGCUCGCAAGAGUGAAACUCAAAGGAAUUGACGGGGACCCGCACAAGCGGUGGAGCAUGUGGUUUAAUUYGAAGCAACGCGAAGAACCUUACCAGGUCUUGACAUACCUUGCGAAGYUAUAGAGAUAUAGUAGAGGUUAAYAAGGAUACAGGUGGUGCAUGGUUGUCGUCAGUUCGUGUCGUGAGAUGUUUGGUUAAGUUCAGCAACGAACGCAACCCUUGUCCUUAGUUGCCAGCAUUAAGUUGGGGACUCUAAGGAGACUGCUAGUGUAAGYUAGAGGAAGGUGGGGACGACGUCAAAUCAUCAUGCCCCUUAUGACCUGGGCUACACACGUGCUACAAUGGCUGAUACAAAGAGUCKCUAAACCGCGAGGUCAAGCAAAUCUCAAAAAGUCAGUCUCAGUCCGGAUUGAAGUCUGCAACUCGACUUCAUGAAGUCGGAAUCGCUAGUAAUCGCGAAUC